GUAGGACAGAUCCAACACCCGCAGAGAGGACAGAAAGCCACGCCUGCACACAGCAGCUGCACAGGACAAAGAUGGAGGACCGAUCAAUGAUAGCUGAUCAACAAUAAUGAAGCAGAAUUAAUCAGGUUUUCAUCUGACAAGAAAUCAGAUACACCUGCUGACCAGUGUUGCCAUGGUAACGACCAGUGACACCUGCUGACCAGUGUUUCUAUGGUGACGCAGGUCAUCAGUGGUGAGGUCACAGCUGCUGAGGCGGAGCUCCAGGAUGACUGACGGCUGCAAAGCGUCCAGGAGCAGCGCUAAACGACCGCCAACAACUUUACACCAGGAAACAUCCACACUGCGCAGGCUGCAGCUGUUGAGCGGCAGACGCCUCAUCUGUGUCAGAGGGAGGGCGGAGACCAGCGGGUGGACCACGCCCCCUGCAUCCUUAUUGGACGACACGUCGAGCUCCGUCAGCGCUGUCAGAGAGGGAAGCACCUGGACUGGAGACAAGGAGUCACAUGACUCAUGCAGGGAUCCCCGUCCGGUCUGAGGUCCGGGACAGGAAGCGUCCCAGCGGCUUCCUGUCUGAGGCCGUGCGUUUCCUGCGGAUCUGGCUCAUGAUGACGUCGAGAGGGGAACGCCUCUGACUGCUGCCGCCCCGCCCCAG